UAGAGUUAAUAAAAUGUAACUGAUAAGAAAAAAAAAGAAAAGGAAGGAGAAAAAAAGAUAGAAGAGAAAGAGCUGGAGGAAGAGAAGGGAAGCAGCUUUCUUCUCUUUGUAAUGCUGAUCUUCCCCCACUAAAGACAAAGGCAGGACAAGAAUCCUCAUUUGUGAGGAACUGGAAAAGUAGUUAAGGUGAUGAUUUUGUUCUGCCACGGUGGGCCCGGUCUGAAGAGGCUGUUCCCCCGAAGGUGUCUCCACCCACCCUGGAAGGGUGCCUGUGCUAUCGAGUGAGGUUACAAGCACAGCCUGUUUGCUUCCAAAUGCUUCUGAAUGGGAGAACAGUGAUGAUGGCCAAGACUGUGCUGCCUUCUCCUGGCUGCCUUGAAAGGACCUGAACAACAAGAGCACAACCACUGGGAGGGAUGAGCAGUCAUAGGGAGGCAGAGGGGCCUGGAUGCCUACAGAGAAUCAUGGGCUCUGAAUCAGUGCCUGUGGACACGGAAGGCUGUCCACGGGCUCAAGACGAUGUGUAUAGGGUAUGUGCAAUGUUAUUUUGUGGAAGGGACUUGAGCCUCUGUGGAUUUUGGUUGGUGUCCAAGGGGCUCUUCAAACCUGGAUCGUCUGGGAUAAAUCGCAGGCGUGAACAUGUCUGCAUGUGUAUGCAGGUGUGUCUGCUCAUGUGUGCAUCUGUGUGUGUCCUGUGCUGAGGUUGCUUACUGAAAGGUGGCGUUCCACGACAGCUCUGAGGUGGCAUAACUUCUCCUUAGGUUGUCUUAUUUUAAUAAAAAGCAUUGACCUCCAUAAAACUGAAGAGAAGGUGAAGUAAAUCUGAAGAGAGUUUUAUAGCUCACUCGGGAUCCUCAGGGUUUCUUCAUACUUGUUCCUUUGCUGCAGCUCUCAUUCUUACUGAUGUAGAGCUUUCCUUCUACCUUUUUCAUUUUAUCUGCUGCCCUAAGUAUCUACAGAAUUUCUCUGCCAUUUUAUUUUAUUUUUUUUUAAAAAUUAAAUAUAUUAAUCUAAUUAUUUUGUAUGUAUCGUGUACCAUGUGUGUGCCCAGUAUUUGUAGAGGCCACACUGGGUCCCUUGAAACUGGAGUUACAGGGGGUUGGGAGACAUCAUGUGAGUCCUGGGAAUCGAACUCUAUUCCUCUGCAAGAGCAACACGUGCUCUUACUCACUGAGCCAUCUCUCCAGCCCUCAUUUCUCUUCAUCUUACUCACUUGAAUAUUUGUGUUUAUCUACCGUACUUUCUUUCUUUUUAAGCUAUAUUUUCAAUCCCACAUUUAUUGUCAUCCACUUUUUUCUGUAUUUUGCACCUAUGAGCAAAAAGCCAGGGACGUCAUUACUGGAGAACUUGCAACUUCCUGAGAUCUUGCUUUUGGCUCCUGCUGGAUGCUCUCCACAGCGUCAGUCUACAUCUUCACCUUAUUAUUUAUAAAUGUGUAGUAUGUUAGGCAAACCUUCUCUACCUACUUCUCUGUUGAUCUAUUUAUGUCCUUCUGCCAUAUUGUUUUAAUGUAAUAGUUUAUACCAACAAAUGUUUUCAUAUGCUGUUUGAUGUAAAAUGUUACAUAACAUGAAAACACGGCAAUGUAUUAUC